CGAACGGUCGCGUAACACGUAAGCAACCUGCCGAAAGACCGGGACAACGAUCCGAAAGGGUCGCUAAUACCGGAUGUGACCGCUUCUUCUCAUGGAGAGGUGAUUAAAGCCUCGCAAGGGGGCUUUCGGAGGGGCUUGCGGCCUAUCAGCUCGUUGGUGGGGUAACGGCCUACCAAGGCGACGACGGGUAGCUGGUCUGAGAGGAUGUCCAGCCGGACUGGGACUGAGAUACGGCCCAG
rnacentral:rRNA from 1 species